GAUUUUUUUCCGGGUUUGGGUCGGUUCGAUUUGCAGGGUAUAAAGAAGCAGAUGGAGGGGCAGGUGCGGAGGUUUGAUGGGAUAUUUGAGCAGAUGAUUGAUCAACGGCUGCUGAAGAUGAAGGAGGAAGGCGCGAAAGAGAGUCAAGAUUUUUUGACUUCUUUGUUGAAAUUGAAAGAGGAGGGAGGAGAUUCGAAGACGCCUCUGACCAUGACUCACAUCAAAGCUCUGCUCAUGGUAUGUGAACUACUAUUCUUCAAAACUUGAUUUCCAUACAAAAGCCAAAUGCCCAGAUGAUUCAAUUCAAACCUUUGGACCAACCAUACUAACGAACAAAAAAAAACUUUGGACCCAAAUUAAUCAACCUCACUAAUCUAGAUACAUUGAGAACUCUAAGUAUUCCAAAUAAAUGAAAUUUAUUAAAAGCCAUACUAUUCUAAAUUCAUGGAUCUUAUUACAGCAUCUCUAAGGGAAAUGCCAAAAAAAAAACUUCAAAUUUGAUGGCCUAUAAGGCAAUCUAACAUUAUGGACAACUUCUUAUUCCACCCGAACUGUUAAAUAAAAUUAUUAUUUUAUUAAAGAAUAAAUGAAAAACAAUGAAAAUAUGGUAAGAGAAAAGCAUAUGGAAGCUUGAAAACGUCACUUUUAUACACAGCAAGCGGGGCCCAUUCAUUAAAAAGCUCUCAAUAAUUGAAAUAACGUCUUUGUUUCUUGCUAUCAAAAUUGCAGCUGGUUCGCAAUAGACCCAUUAGUGUAGUAGUUUGGAAUGUUUACUCCCUCAAGCAAAGUCCUGAGUUCGAGUCCUAGCAUCUGUGUUAUGUGUGUGAGUUUAAUAUGCUUUCGCCCCUUUCAAUAGCAACAUAUCUUAAGCAUUGAAAUUCAAUCACCAUCAACACCCAUCUCUCACAUCAAGCUUUUAUACAUUUACUGACAAUCUGAAAAUUAGUAGUCAACAAAUGAGUGAGACCUUCAAAAGGGAGAAAUAUAACUAGGUCAUGGGGUAGCCAUCGAAAGGGUGAGAAUGAAGGAUUCUGAUAUGGUUAAGUUGUUGAACUGCAUGAGAAGAGGGAGAGAGAGAGAGGGAGGGGGCGGUAGGAGACUGGGUCGGGGUGGGCGGUUCCAUCUUUUUCAUGAUCUUUUAUUUUUUAAAUUUUAUUUCAAAGGGUUAUAGUUGGGUUUUAUGUCCAACUGUAAAAUAAAGUAUUAAUUGUUUUUAAAAAUGACACAUGGCAAAUUUUAAAUAGGAGUAUCACCAGUUGACGUUGUCAUACAGUACUAUUCUAUAAUUUCUCAUGUGGUAGGAGAUAUAAGGAUUGAUACAUAAAAUAACUUUUUAUUUGAUUGAUAAUCAUAUAAAGCAGAAGAUAUUUUGGCCAUUUGCAUCAAGCUCAAACUUCCUUUUUGCAUGCAUGCUCCUCCUGAACCACACACUAUAAUAAGAGGUAAAAAAUGAGUGGCAGCAUACUCGGCCAAACUUGUGAUUGUCAGUUUUCCCAAUUUCUCAUCCAGAUUAACUUAACUUUUUGAGAAAAAUAUUAGGUUGUCAAUUUUUUUUUUUGGGCUUUGAUUUGUAGUUUAGUUUUAGGAUUUGAAAAGCUUAUUUUGGGAUAAUUAUUAGUUUUUCCUUUGAAGUAUCAAAGAAAUAAAAUAUAAUUUUUAAGGAUUAUAAUUGGAAUAUUUUAAAAGUGACUUGUUGUAGUAAGCAACUUUUAUAACAAAUCCUAGCUUCCUUUCAACAACACAACAAAGGGGGAAGGUAUAGUUUAAAAACACAUUACCAUGACUAAUUGAGUGUCCAUAACAAAUUUUAGGGUACUAGAAUUAGGAUGUGUCCAUAACAAAUUUUAGGGUACGAGAAUCUUAAGGUACCAAAUUUUAGGCAAAUUAAUGUGAUCAUUGAGUUCAAUUCACAAUCUCCUGAAAUCUUAGGGCACCAAAUAGUCUAGCAGAAUAAUGUGCCUUGUGGAGUGUAAGCAUAUAUAUCUUUCUCUUGUUUCAUGUGAAUUGUAAACAAACUAUCACAUUAACAUGAUGUUUAACAAUAUGAUUGAGGGCAGGAUAUGAUGCUUGGUGGGACUGACACAACCUCCAACACAGCUGAGUUUGCAUUUGCGGAAACCAUGACCAAACCAGCGGUGAUGGGAAAAGCCAAGAGAGAAUUGGACGAUGUAGUUGGCAAAGACAGCAUUGUACAAGAAACUCAUAUUUCCAAAUUACCAUACUUACAAGCUGUGAUGAAAGAAACUCUACGCCUGCACCCAGUCGCGCCACUUUUAGCCCCUCACUGCCCAAGUGAAACAUGCACAGUGGGAGGUUACACCAUUCCAAAGGGUUCUAGGGUUCUUGUUAAUGCAUGGGCUAUUCAUAGGGACCCUUCUAACUGGGAAGACCCAUUGGAUUUUGAUCCAGACAGGUUCUUGCAUGGCAAAUGGGACUAUAGUGGACGUGACUUCAACUAUUUACCAUUUGGGUCAGGCAGAAGAAUAUGUGUUGGGACAGGAAUGGCUGAGAGGAUGGUGGUAUAUACACUUGCUACACUCUUGCAUUCCUUUGACUGGAAAUUGCCACAGGGGGAGGAGCUGGACCUUUCAGAGAAGUUUGGGAUUGUGAUGAAGAAGAAGAUACCUCUGGUUCUCAUCCCAACUCCAAGGCUAUCGGAUCCAGGACUCUAUGAGUAGCCUACAAUAUUUCUAGAUGUUAAUGCUUUUGAUGAUUGAAGUUGUACUUACACUAUGCCAAAAAAGGCCUUUAGCAACGGAUAAAAUCUGUUGCCUAUUGCCCAUAAAUACCGUGGUAUUCAAGCCUGUUGCCUAUUACUAUGUAAUAAGCAACGGAUAUUAUCCGUGGCCUUUUAAUACUUACAACAUCGGAUAUUUGGUAAAUUUCAAUGCGUACAUUAUUUCCGUGUGCCAAAAAAAGGUUGACCUCUGAUGCCUAAACCUAAAACAGCAUCAGUGGUUUCAAAAGGAAGGAGGCUAAAGAGGUAUUACAGCAUCAGUGGUAUCUCCUAUAUUGAUGCGUAUUAUCAAUUACAACAUCGCAGAAACAAAUAGUGCUGUUGCGAAUUAUGUUAUACGUCAUCGCUUUUUCUAUUUUGUCGACAUGAAAAGCCUCCAAUAGCGAUGGUGGUUAUAUAAAUGCUGAUGCUACUUCUAAUUUUAGGCAUUAGUGAUCAUUGAUAUAUGGUGGUUGUUUUUAUCUUUCAACUCCACUUAUUUCUGGAAAACUAAAGUUGUUAUAAAAAUAGGCAUCACUUAUGUAAGGAAAGUGUAGGCAUUUUGCAUGUUCCAUGUCACACUUUACUUGGUUAUUAUCUUAGAAUAUCAAAAAGGCAUCAUUUCCAAAUCAUGUUGUGCUGCCAUUGCUCAUAAAAAAACAUGUAUAUAAACAGUAAUUUAAAUAUAUCCAUACUUGUCUAUAUAUAUAAGUAAAACACUUGAAUGAUCCGUACUUGUCACACCUAAAUCACAAUUUUUCCAGCCCCACACCACAAAUUAUCCAUACUUGUCUAUAUAUAAGCAAAAUAUUAGCUAGAAAGACAUGUAAAAUGAAGGAGGAAUGUUUAGUUCAAUCAAAAAGCCGUUAUAGGGCAUGAGUUGCCAAUUCUUCUUGCACCUCAUCCAAUUCCAUUUGGGUGUACAUGCCCUUCCGUCUAGCUCUAUUUGGACGGACAUGAGUCUCUGAAAUAAGGAAACCAAUUUCAGUUUACCACAUAAAGAACAAUGCUCAAUAAAUUGAAAGAGAACCUUAAAUUUGCAACUUCCAAGAAACUAUACCCAAACUGAUAAAUUAUCUAUCUUAGAUAAAAGAACAAUCAAAACAUAAAUUGACAAAUUAUGCUUAUAAAGUAGCAAUAUACAAGCUGGAUUGUUGUUCUACCAAACUUGCACCAGCAGAGGCUAUAUAUAAUCAUGUAUGCAAUUGCUUUUGUAUUCAUACUGAGGAGCUAAAAUGCAAAAGUCAAAGAAAAACUGAUUUGAAGCUUUAGAAAAAGAGAAGGGAAAAAAAAAGGGGCUUCUUAGAUCUAGGUCCAAAAUGAUUAGUUGUCAUUGGGUUUAGUCAUCAUGUUUUUGGUUUUAGAUGUAGGUCCUUUGACAUUUAUUACUUUUUUUAUUGUGUCGAUUUUACCCUUUGAAGUAAAUAAGGAAAACACUUUGAAAAUCUAAAUUUAAUGCAUUAUUUCCUUGUAAUUGAAUUCCAUAAUUUAAAUUUUGAAUUUUUUCCUUGAUAAUAUUCCUAAUCAAUAAAAAGUAAAGACCCACAUAUUAUACUAAUCAAUCAGACAAGCACCCAUAUUAAAUUAUGUGUUUGACAUAUAGGUAAAUAGUGUUAUUAUUAGCAAUAAAAAAAUACUUGGUGAUAAAUCAUGUCACCUAUAAGUUAGGAACAUAAAUUAGAAGAUUGUCUAUAAGUCAGAUAUAGAAAUAGACAAAAUAAAAUUGUAUGUUACCUAUAAAAAAAAGGUACAUAAAAUACUAUUACACAUUGUCGAAAAUAUGAAAUAACAUAUAUAUUGUAACACCUCGACUUCAAAUAGGAUGUUAUACCUAGGGUAGGAGUCUUGAGCCAUGAUGUUGAGAUUUUCCGGCGAAGCUUUAUCGCUUUGGACACCCACGCGUUGCUGAAGCCUGUGGCGGCUCGUGGGCACUGUAGCAGAGGGGCAUUUUUGUCCCAAUGCGAUUCCCUUGAUGUCACGAGCGCGUAGGUGUGCUCGGAUUCCAAUUUGGUUGACGUUCGAACCCCGAACGAAUUUCACAUAUUAGGAGUUAUCCGGGUUCGAUAUGUUCGGACCGUUGGAUCGACUCCAUUACAAUAUAUGUUAAUCUAGACACUUCUAGGAUCGUGUAGGAAUUCGUGGAUUGUGAAUUGGAGCCCCGAAUAUUCCGAUUCAAUAACUUAAAGUUUACGUUUUACGAUAACCGUCCGAUCGUGUGAUCGUAAGCGAUCUAACAGUCCGUUUCCAAACUUGCGAGACGGGUAUCUAAGACCUUGUGAAACCUUAAGGAGCUUUUGGAUUGUGAAACCGAGAUCGUGGGUCCCGUGGGCCCGGUUGACCCGAAUUGGGAAGUUUGACCGUCGGUUGACCGAGUGUCUCCCGAAGCUAUUCAAUUGUCCGAAUUGGGUAUUUGGACUUUAGAACGUCUCAUUUUUAGUACACUUACUAGAAACCUGGGAAAUUAGGUUAUUUAAUUCAAAGUUCUCGUUCGAAACUCUUCGUAUUAAUCUCGUACACGUAUUCAGAAAUAAGCACUUCGACCACGCAUACGCAGCAGGCGGGACCCUCUCAGGGUCAAGCAGCGUGGGACUAUCUGUGAGUGGACAUUUAUUUUCAAAUCUUAUACAUGGUUUUAUGAUGGGAAAUAUUAUGCAUGAUGUUUUAAAUGGUAUAUUGGAUAUAUUAAUUAUUCAAUUGUUGAAAGUGAUUAUUUUUAUGAUGCAUUGGAAAUAUAUUUUUGGGUUUUGGCAUAUUUGAGUAUCUUGAGUAUGUAUAUAUGGAUUUUGAGAAUUUCUAUAUAUGUUUGGCUAUGUGUGGGGUACUUGGGUUGUUGAGAUGAGAUUGUGGAAAGUGAUGAGUAUAGAAUGUCAGUUCUGAGUGCUAUAAGCACUACCCUAUGUACCUCCCUGGAUUUGGAACUUGGAUACAGAAACUUGAGAUACUUGGAAUUGUCGGAACCCAAGGCAUCCUUGAUGGGAUGUUGCUGUAGACCCUUGAUUGGGUAGUUUGUGCGCGUAGGACUGGUCACAUACGUACGGGUUUUGAGGCUAUCGAUGGUACGUGCUGGCUGAGAGUUGGUCCCCCAGUUGGACGGCUCGUUCCCUAGUCACAUGGUGAAUUGAGGAAUUUGUUUAUUGAGACUCUGCCAUGGUGACUAGUCAAACAAUCCCCCGAUUGGAUUGUUUCCCCGGCACAACUAGGUGUGGUUAUAUUAUAUUAUAUAAUUAUAUAUAUAGCUAUUCAUUCGUUCUUGUUUCUCGAUGAGGAUACUUUCUUGCCGAUCGUGCCAAUGGGUACGCUUUCGAGAGUUUAGUUGUGGGAUUGUAAGAUUUGGAUGGUGGGUUUGUAAAGCUUUCUUUAUGGAUUUUGGACUUGGCAUCCGGUAUUUGAUUUUGAUUUGAUAUAUAUAUAUAUAUGCUUGAUUAUGAUGGUUUUGGGAUGCAUUUGGAUUUCUUGCAUGGUUUUCUAAACGGUAGGGUUAUAUCUUACGUUGGUUUACAUUGAACUGAAUUUUUAUUUUUGUCAACUCACAAUUUUCUGUUUUGCGCCCCCCAGCCAGUAGUUGACUAAGCUCCGUAGCAGAGCCGGAUCGUGUGCUUCCGAGCCUUGAGCCUUCGUAGGACUCUUUCUUCAUGUUAUUUCCUUUGAACUCUGUUUUUUUUGUUGUAAUUGAAUUUCUUAGACAUACUCUGUUAUCGCCGCUGUUAGGGUUUGAUUUGUGAGGCCGGAGGCCUUUGUUGUAAACUGUUUAUUCGCUUGAAAACAUGCUGUUGGUUGGGAUUAUAUUAUAUAUUUUUAUGCAAAUUGAAUUUUGUUGGGUUUGUUCAAUUUACAGGGGAGACUUUGCUAAAAUUUUUGGUAGAGAGUCUUGAGUUUUUAGUAAGUGAGCCCAACAUCGGGGUGAUGUCGGUAACAAAGACAGAGUCCGCUCCAGUUUUUGGGAAAUUUCGGGGCGGGUCCUGUGAUAUAUACCUAUGCAAUAGGCAAUAGGCAAUAUGACAUAAAUGAUUAUUAGCCGAUUCAAGUCAUAAGGGGCAACAUUGGAACGAAAAAUGAUUUUAAAAAUAAAAUAAUAAAAUAUUACAUUAAAAAAAAUUAAAAAGGAAAGUAAUUCUAUGUGGCACAAAAGUCAAAGGACUUGGAUCAAAGUCACCAAAUAUGAGGAUUAAACCCAACUCCUCAAUAUGAAUUUGAAUCUAUAUCAACUUUUCUAUAAAAAAAAAAAAAAAAAGAUUAUAUUGAAGCUUACCACAUUGCAAUCAGUGAAGUUGUUUCUGUGUAGAACCAGAUUACUAUGUUUUUGAGAAGAUAUUGGAAAGAUAUGAUAGUUAUAUGCUAAAGAUCCAUUUCCGUACAUGUCAUGUAAGUGCACGGUUGGUAUAUUAGGUUGAGUGCAUUGAAAAGACGCUUGUUUAUUGCUAAACCAGCCAGUAAAUAUAUCCCUGAACCCACGCUUGGUAACAUUUUCUAAGGUCUCCACUAUUUUAUUCUUGGAUUCAAACUUUCUGACUUAAAUGCUAUCUAAAAAAUUUGCACUAUUUUUGCAAACAGAUUACCUCAUUAAUAGGACAUUAGUAAAACAAAAGUAGUAAAGAAAUACAAACCAUAUCUAAGAAACCUUGUUGAUUCCAUGCAAGAUGAUUUAAAGGUUCCUAAGUGAAACAGUUCACUAUUUAUUUAAGAGAAAAACAAUCAAGCAAUUCCAAUGUACCACACCAUAAUUGAGAUAUGCAGCUAAAAACUGAUCAAUGACAAGUAAGAAUCUGUAAUGUUCCCUACAAGAAACUAAUGAUGCACUAAAAAAAAAGAGUUAGUUAUCUAAUAACAAGUAACUUUAUCAGCAUAUGCAGAAAGAGUUUUGUUGUCCUACCACAGAAGAUUGCCCUGAAAUAUUCUCAACAAUGUAGGCGGUGGCUGAUUGUCGGGAACAGCUACUGUACAAUCAUAAAUUGCUGGAACAAAUAAGCGCAUCUUGCUUACUGAUGAAACAAAACCCUGAAAGUAUGAAAGAAGUAGUACAAUUUUAAAAUAAAGGGGAAACACAAAACUGUGGAAAUUAUGUUGAUGAGUCACAUUAUGAAAUUAUGGGAAAAAGGACAUAAUGGCAAUGUACAAGGAACAUCUAGUUUUAAAAAAUUCAAAUAGGAUACAGCAGACACCAAUUUGACUUAAAAAGAAGGAAAAAUGGUAGGAAAAAAAUGUAAAUAGACUAUUACCUUUUUACGUGGAAGCAAGACAUUCCUAGGAAUAGGCACCCUCUUGAAGAGGCAAACUCUUGAGCUACCAUUAGCUUUGCCUGCGUAAAUCGCGUUCCUUCUACAAAGAGAGCCAACCAAAAAGGCAUGAGGAAAUCCUCUAGUUGUUGAAAACCCGACUGUAGUGGGAAACACCAUGAGUUAUAAAAUGACAAAGAAGAAGACUGUGUCAAACAUAUGCGGAUAACCACAUUUACAGAUACCUUCAAUGUAAUUUCAUCUUUAGUCCAUCUUCUUUUCAAGAAGAAAUAUUCAGAAAACCACAUUGACCAACCUAUGCUUUUAAUUAAACUACGGUUUAUGUCAAGCUAACAAUUUGAACUUGAUCAAUAAUUUAGAUUAGCAACUUGACCGUCUAAGAGCAUCUCCAAGGGAGAUGUCAAAUAUCAGACAUCAAAUUUAAAUUUGAUGGCUGAUGCGGCAAUUUGACAUUUACACAGUUUUAUACUCCACUCGAUAUGUCAAAUAAAUAAUUAUUGUAAUAGUCAAAUCAUUUAAGAUAAAGAAGAAAAAUAAUAAAAAAGGAAAAUAAUAAAUGAAAGUAACUGCCAGUUGUCUUUAAAAAAUAAUAAAAUAUUCAUUUGACAUCUUACUUUUGGAAUGUCAAGAGUAACGGCUAAACCUCCAGCUUCAUUCCACAUCAGCUUUGACAAUUCGGUUGGAGUGAUGUGAGAUGUAAUUUCUAACCGUUAAAUGUUUAUGUGGCAGUUUUGAUAUAUCGGUUGGAGAUGCUCCAACAUUGGGAACUAAUUCAAAUGUUAUUUCCUCUCUCAAAAAUUCAUGUAUAACAUUGGUAAUGGAAAACCUCAAGGCCUAUGAGCUUCUACACAUACCAAAGAAUUAUGGAUCCCGACGAUAAAUGAGCACAUGUGAUGCAACGGUACUUGAGCCAGGGUGUUGGGAAACAUGAACCAACAGCCAUCAAGCUCCGUAUACCCCGGAAUUAGGCACAAAAGACAAGAAAAAACACUCAAACUUGUUGAUGCUAAGAAUACUCAGAUUAUAAGAAAAGAAGAGAACGCUCUUUUUGUGUUCAAUUUCAGUUCUCAACAAUUGCCUUGAGAAGUCUGAGCAUAGUAUUUAAAGACAAUCUCUCAUCCCCAAUGACAGAUGUGUGCUUAGGCCUGCAAGGGCCUUGCCCCUCCCAAAAUUCUGAAAUACUAUAUAUAUUGGGCUUUGCAUUGGACAACUUAGGAUAAAAGGUUAUUUCCUUAUCAAAAUGGCUAAGUGGCCCCUCACAAUAAAGAGAAUAAGAGAUUUUACAUUUCCCCCUCCAACUAAAAGGUUAUUUCCUUAGCAAAAUAGCUAAGUUACUCAUGGAUCCCACCAACAUAAUUAAUAAAAAAAAUUAAAAGAAACAGCCAAUCAAAUCUUUCUUUUACACAUAUAUUUAAGAAAAUAGGAAAUCAAAGAUAACCUGUAAUAACCCGAUCUUAAAUCAAUUUUUAGGAUGCUGAGAAAAGUCUGCGUGCUCAAGAUGCUCAGCAACACAACUCUAGACUCGGUGUACGAACUCUGGCGAAAGUAGCUCCGGGAAACUGUCGGGUACUUUUACAGUCGGGUGGGGUCGCCGGGCAAUGUCGGCUAGCAGAUAUUCUUAAAUGUGCUGCAUGUUAUCACGAACAUGUUGUGGGGUGAGACGGUGGAGGGCGAAGAGAGGGCGGGGCUGGGGGUGGAGUUCCGAGAGGUGGUGUUGGAGAUGACGGAGCUUCUGGGGAAGCCGAAUGUUUCAGACUUUUAUUCGGGUUUGGCCCAGUUCGAUCUGCAGGGUGUGGAGAAGCAGAUGGGCAGGUUGGCCCGGAGGUUUGAUGGGAUAUUCGAGAAGAUAAUAGAUAAACGGAUGAGGAAUGACAAGGAAGGCCUGAAGGAGAGUAAGGAUUUUUUUACGUUUUUGUUGAAGUUGAUAGACGAGGGAGGAGAUUCCAAGACCCCUUUCACCAUCACCCAUCUCAAAGCUUUGCUUAUGGUACGACUUCGUUUAACUUCACUUGAAAGCCCAUGCUUAUUUCUUUUUUAAGUUUUCAUUGAUCGGUCAUUGAAAGGAAAAUUAGACCAAUCUUAAGACAUCUAAUAUUGUUGAAAUAAAUAGACAAAUGUUAUAAAAAUAACCUGAAAUAUGUAUGAAUAUUGAGCUGCACGUAAAGUAGAUGAGACACAGCAUUUAACGAGGUUCGGCUAUGCCUACGUCCUCGGAGAGCAGCAGCAGUAACUUUUUCACUAUAUAAAAUAAUAGGGCUACAACUUUAGAGUUUACAAUAUGUGAGGCUCACUGAAUUUUCUCUCUCUUUCCUCUUCUAUCUUUCCUCCUCUUUUUCCUCUUCUUUCCUCUUCUCUUUUUCCUUUCUUCUUUUCUCCUCUCUUUUCUCUUCUCCCCUUUCUUUCUUUUCUCCGUUGGUCACUCUUCCCAUUGCAAGUGAUAUGCCUAUUUAUAGGCUAAGGUUUUGGUAAAAUACAGGGAAGGGAAGGUUCCUGGAAGAUGCAAGGAAACUUCCUGAAUUGAUAAAUACAGGGAAGGAAAGUUCCUGGAAGAUGCAAGGAAACUUCCUCUGUGGGCUCCACCUUCAAACUUUUACAACACUCCCCCUUGGAGACCACAAAUGAUAUGGAAUAUGCCUCGUUAAAAACCUUGCCAGUAAAAACCCAGUGGGACAAAAACUGGUCGAAGGGAAAAAGAGUACAUAAUCACGUGUAACAUAAAAUUCUGUGUAUAUUGACGCGCGUGCGACACUGCCUCGUUAAAACCUUGCCAGGAAAAACCCAGUGGGAUAAAAACCUGGACGAAGGAAAAAAAGUACAGUGUGUAAGGGUCUGUAUUGACAGCACGCUCCCCCUGAUGCUUGGCAAAAUAUCUUUAAGCCAUACUGUUGAUCAUCUGUCUGAAUAUCAUAGUUGACACUGCUGCUGUGAGUCAAUAGUGUAUGAAGGUCUUUAUUAAUACCAUGCUCCCCCUGAUGAAUAUCUCCCCCUGAAAACUUCAUGACUAGCUUUUUCCAGUAAGCGACCAUAGAGAUUUCCUGAGUCCGCAUAUCUUAGAACACUUGGGCUAUUUAUAAGUUCACUAAAAAAUAUGCCUGUAUAUGGUGUUAUGCUUAGAUAGCAUCAAAUAUACCUCACAUCAUCCCAAAAUGAUGGUGAUGGAGUUGAGCCCUAUCUGGAAAAUAUGAUGUCCGGUCCAAUAUACUUCCGGAAAAUCGUUAAAGUGUCCAACGGAUAAUCCUCAUAAAAAUACUUUAAUACUUUCUUAGUAUAAGCAAGAAUCUCGUUGGCAUAAUGCUCGAUCGAGACAAAUAUUUCAAGAAUUCUGCAGAAGCUUUAAUGUGUUGCAAUCACAUUAUAAUCAAUGUACUCACUGAGGUAAUUUAUACAUAUUAAUAUUGAGUACAAAUUUUGUGCUUCAAGCACAUGUCCUUUAGGGACUUGCUUUAUGCAAUAUCAAUCCUCUCAACGGAUUUUGUCUAAAAGGGAUUAAGCUUUAUGACACAUUAUAUAGCUUUUACCCAGCUAUUUAUACAUCUUUAGGAAAUCGCUUCUGGCGAUAUGCUCCGUGCAUUUAAUAACCCUUAAAGAUAAUAUGUUGGUCUCCGUAAUUGUGUAAUAAGGGGGAGGGGGGGGCACAAUUGAAUCUGUAAAUAUGGAGAAAACCCAACAUUUCUUGUUUCUGCCAGAAACAGUGUGUCAUACAAAGUAGGUAUAUUUCCUUUUAUUCCGAACACCCAAGUAUAACUUUCAGUAUUAACAAAUUUUGGGGUUCGUAUUGUGGGUUUGUUCUUUCACGUUCAUUCUCAUUUAUAAUGGAAUUACCUCGUUCCAUUUUGGCCAAUGAUAUUGUCGACAUUUAAUAAUUGAACGUGGUUCUAAUCAACACAGCCCAUUGAUGAUUUGAGUAGCUACUCCAAAACCAAAAAUUGUCAUUCAUCAAUUCAUGAUCCCACCAUUCUCAUGUGUAUGCGCAUGCAUCAAUUAUAAGCAUUUCUUUGCUUUUGGGUACCCAAGCCACUUCAGGGGGCUUUUAUUAUGUGAGAAUGUGGAUUAUAACCUCCAUCGGAGCGUUAUUUAGUAGUAGGGCGUGGAUAAUCUCCAUUUAGGGAGUUGGAACAUUUAGAACCCAUAUAUCUGUCAUGCUGCAGGCAUGCCACAGAUUAAUACAUACAUGUCAAUUAAUUUCUGGGACUUUAACCCAUAUUAUGGGACUUUAACCCAUAUAAUUUGCUACGCAUUAGGCGUGCAUAAUAUCAAUAUUGACAUGUCAAAGGAUUGUCCUUUCGGGACUUCAAUCCAUAUCAUUUGCUACGCAACAGGCGUGCACCCAUAUUGAUCACUGCUACACCCAUAUUCUGUUCUUAUGGGACUUUAAUCUGUGCAGUGUAUUAUCAAUGUAUCCAUCUUACAAUCUGUAAAAUUUGCAUUAAUAAUUCAUGGAUACAUACAAGCCAUUCUUUUGGAACGGACUUAUCUCCCAAUUUGGUUACCUUUCAAGAUAAAAUAUCAAAUAGGUAUAUAAGCAUAAAAUAACACAAGUAUUGCUUACAUCCUUAGGUGGGAGAAACUUUUCUCAAGUAUCAUUCAAGCUCAUAUCAGCCCAGUAAAUAUAAUGUAGCGCUUGAUGAUCUAGUUAUAUCAUGCAAGAGCAAAAAUCACAACUCUUUUGCCUCUGUCAAAACAAAUAACCCUCAUAGUUAGGAUUACUUCAUGGAUUCAUUCUUCAGAUGUUCAUUCUAAAGAAAUAAAAUCUCUUAUGAACAGAGAGUUAUAAAAAGAGAAAAAAUGCAAAAAUAAUGUGAUAUUGAUUGCAAGAGAAGGUAAGCAAUCAGGGAAGGAAGCUGGUGGGAGCAGACAAUAAGCUCUCAUAUCUCCUAGUCUAGAAGGACUUCCGGAGAUUAGAGCAUAAGAUCGCCUUCACAGUUUCCUGAUGCAGUGGAAACGUGAUCAGGGAUAGUCUUGCUUCCUGAAUGGAUGAUCAGAGAUAGUCUUGCUUCUCAGGCAUAUUGAGUGCUCACUGAUAAGAAAAAUAAGUAGAUAUCGCAUCACUAGGUAUGGAGUAAACUAGAUGUCUUCUGCAAAGAAAAUUUCGUUAGUAACACAUUUAUACACAAAUACAAUGAAUAGGUAGAACCGGUGAAUUUCAAAUUAACCAUAGGAAAAUUGCGAGAUUCUCGGGAUACUUUUGAAAAAGUAGUUCCGUGAAAUCCAUAAAGCAAGAUCGGCUUUGAAAAUAAUACUUUGAAAAACGCCGAAAGUGCCGACAGGCAUUAUUAGAGGCCACGUGAAGUUUUGGACUCUGGGAAAGAAAAAGAUAAUAUGGGGAUUCGAGAAGAUAUUGCCGACAGGCAUUAUUAGAGGCCACGUGAAGUUUUUGACUCUGGGAAAGAAAAAGAUAAUAUGGGGAUUCGAGAAGAUAUUGCCGACAGGCAUUAUUAGAGGCCACGUUUUCGCUAUAGAUAUUGCCUUUGCAAACUGCGUUUCAACUCAAUUUCCUUCAUUUUCCGAACCUUUAGUUUUUCUAAGACUUUCUUCGAAACCUUCUUAAAAAAAAUGGCUUCCUCUUCUUCCUGCCCAAAUUAUUUCAAUUUAAAUGAUGCUCCCACAACUACCAGUGACGCCCAAGUUUGGCGUCCAUCCUUUGUAUCCAAAAAUCGUCAUCUCACAGUUAAUGAUUCUGUGAUGAUGAAUGAUGCUACUGCUGUCAUAGUAGCUAGGAAUUUCAUUACUCCAAUGGAUGAAAUGUUGUUGACGGGGAGAUCAGAGGAAGAGGCUAUUGAUGACUCAAUGGCUUUUAGCAUUCAGAGUGCUGUUUCUGUUUCUAACAUGGCUGAUCGUUUGCGUGCCAGAGCAAACGAGGUUGAGAGGUUAGCUACUGAAAAUUCGUCUCUCCAAAGAAUGCUUCAUGAGUCUCAACAGGAGGUUGAGAAACUUAAAGGAGAGAAUAAUGCCUUGUUGAAACUGGUGAGUUCGUACUCUGUUGAUACACUGAGAAGGCUAGACAUGCUGCAGGUCUCCAAUGAAAGAAUUUUGGGAGACCACGAGAAGCUCAUGGCUAAGCUUAAGAGGCGCCGUCAUCUUCCUGCAGAGGCUUCCAGAACAUAAUGUAAUUUUUUUUUUUUAUAGAUUUCACAGGGCCUGCACCUUCAUUGCAGGUGGAAAAAUCUAUCUGUUAUAUGUUCCUGUUAUGAUAAUUGCGCAUAUUCUUAAACUUGCACCUGUGGUUUUUACGUCUUUUUAAAAUGACGAUUUGGAACCUUGUGCCUUAUAGGUUCAAAUAACCACAUCGACUCUCCCAAAUUUCAUAUUUCAACGUAUGGUAGCCCGGAACUUAUGGCCUGGGCACAAACUUAGAAUUUAUUUGCCCUUUUCAAAUGGACAUGAAAUAUGAAUUGAGUAAAAGCCAUGAUAAUAUCGCAAUAUAGUAGUGAAGAGCAUUAACUACUAUAUACCCACAACUUCAAGUUUAGGAUCUCUCAUAUAUUUGGAUCCAUGGGCUUCCGGCCCAGAUAUAACAAAAUAUGUGGGGAGACUCAAUUCAUUAUUUGAGGUUUAUAUUGAUAUUAUCCAUUUCGCGGUGUAUUCUUAACAACCGGAAUUCACAAAAUAUAUUUCUUCCUUGAGGUGUCGAUUAUAACAAAAUCGAACUUUAAAUUCAUCAUCUUCUUAUGCCAAAGAGAUAUGUGGCAUACCACAAUUUGCAAUAAUACCUCAAGGGUUGUCCAUUUAAUUGUUGGAACUUCAGGUUCUCAACACUGUUAAAUUUUGAACUUCAGGCCAAAGCCACAUAUUCUCAUGGUAUGGACAUUUUUACAAUUUUCUAUACAUAUUUCGGGACUUCAAGCCCUUACAUAAUUGUCCAUAUUUUGAGGAACUUCUGGCAUCUCAUUUAAUUGCUCAUCCAUGAGUUUAAGGAACUGCAGGUUCCCUUUUGUAUAUAGUGACGGUUUACCCAAAAUGGUUAAUAUUUAUGCAUACGUCACUAUUCAUGUGAAUAGUACUAUUCAUCAAGUCAUGAAUACAUAUCUAUUCAUCUGCCAGUACAGUUAUCAUCAAUGUGUACGGCACCAUGAACCAAUACGGUACUGUUACAUCAUUAAGGAACUCUAGGUCCUUAUUUACAUGUCGGGAUCAAGGACCUUUAAGUCCAAUCACAUGUUUACAAAUACAGUACCGGAGAGACUGCCAGCUCUCAUAUCAUCAUCAAGGAUCUUCAAGUCCUGAUGUAAUUGUAUGAUGAGGAUCAAGGAACUUCUGGUCCUGAUCUGCAUACUGGAAAAACUCAUCAUACAGCACAAUUAAUCCAUAAAAUAAAUUGCUGAUAAAUAAAUUACUGGUAUGGACGAUAAACCCGCACCACACUUUAAAUAAAUGUAAAUGUGCGGUAAAUUAAAUUCAUAAAGUUAAGGUGCUUGUAUGGGCAUUAAUUCUGCUCCAUACAUUUAAAUAAAAGUAAAGGCGUGGACGAUAAACCCGCACCACCCUUUUAAAUAAAUGUAAAUGUGCGGUAAAUUAAAUUCAUAAAUUAAAUUGCUUGCUGUAUGGACGUUAAUCCCGCACCAUACUUUAAAUAAAAUUAAAUGUGCGGUAAAGUAAAUUGUGCUUGUAUGGGCACUAAUUCUGCUCCAUACAUUUAAAUAAAAGCAAAGGCGUGGACGAUAAACCCGCACCACCCUUUUAAAUAAAUACUGUUGUAUGGGUAAUAAACCUACACCAUACAGUAAAUAAAAUAAAUAUGCGGUAAAAUAAAUUUGCGAUAAAGUAAAGGUGCAUGUAUGGGUAAUAAACCUACACCAUACAGUAAAUAAAUGUGGGGUUAAAACCACCACCGAAUAAAAUAAGAAAAAAAGUUAGUAUUAGUAACGGUCUCCCACUGAUAAUAUGUUUAGUAUUACCAAGGGUCCAUUUUUGUUAGUGGUUAGUAGUAUAGAUAAUAGUGCAGCACAAAAAUUAUACCUGAGAGCUUCUCGUGCUGAUAACGUGUUAUAAAAAUAACCUGAAAUAUGUAUGAAUAUUGAGCUGCACGUAAAGUAGAUGAGACACAGCAUUUAACGAGGUUCGGCUAUGCCUACGUCCUCGGAGAGCAGCAACAGUAACUUUUUCACUAUAUAAAAUAAUAGGGCUACAACUUUAGAGUUUACAAUAUGUGAGGCUCACUGAAUUUUCUCUCUCUUUCCUCUUCUAUCUUUCCUCCUCUUUUUCCUCUUCUUUCCUCUUCUCUUUUUCCUUUCUUCUUUUCUCCUCUCUUUUCUCUUCUCCCCUUUCUUUCUUUUCUCCGUUGGUCACUCUUCCCAUUGCAAGUGAUAUGCCUAUUUAUAGGCUAAGGUUUUGGUAAAAUACAGGGAAGGGAAGGUUCCUGGAAGAUGCAAGGAAACUUCCUGAAUUGAUAAAUACAGGGAAGGAAAGUUCCUGGAAGAUGCAAGGAAACUUCCUCUGUGGGCUCCACCUUCAAACUUUUACAACAACAAACACGAUUAGGGCAGACCCCAGAGUCACUUUCACAAGGUGGCCCUGGCCCCCCAAUAUUUUGUACACCUCCACCAAUCAAUGUAUGCUUUAAGUUAGGCCAUAUCUAGUGGGCCAUAGGCUAAAAAAACUUCGGCCAAUUUUGAGGGCUACAUCCCUUACCCCUCCUCCCAAGCCACAUGUAGCUAGCUGUAGUCCGGACCAAAUUUUUUGUGUGGAUCCAGCGUAUAUACUGCCUAACAAGAAAAAGAAUCACCUGUGGGCGUAACCUGAGGAACAGCUUGUGCAACUGCGAUCCAAUGUUGCUAUUCAAGGCUUUCACGUCAACUAACCGUUACUUUUUUUUUUCUUCUCCUUUAACGUUUUAAAUUUAUAUAAACAGUCCUGAUUUCUUGGACUACAGGGGUCUAAGAGAUUUGUGGUCACUCACCGUUGGAUGUAAAUUCAACGGUUCACUCACUCUUGCACUCCUUUUCAGAAACUUUUUUGACCAUUGGAUUAAUAUUCAACAGUGAGUGACUACAAUUUCUUGAACUCUUGUGAUCCAAGAGAUCGAGACUAUAUAUAUAAAUCCGUUUUUUUUAUUAAAAAAAAUUUGGUUUUUGAAAGUGCAUCAAUUUUUAAAAAUAACCAUUGUGGGCUUAAUUUUUAUUUUUUUAUUUUCCCAAAAACACCUAAAAUAUGUCUAUAACUACUUCCAAAUUUCUUCAAAAAUGUUCACUUAUUUCAUUCCACAUUUCUUACAAAUUUUAUCACAUUAUCUACUUAUUCAAAAUUUUCCACACUUAUUAUUAUUUUUUUUGGUCAAAUAUUUUCCACUUUUAUUUUCCCCUUUGGUGAUUGCUUUGCUUUAUUUAUCACAGUUUCAUGAGAAGUGGAAGACUGUUAGGCCCCGUUUGGUUCAUGGGAAAGGAGGCUUGGGAAUGGGAAUUCAAUUGCUUUCCCAUGUUUGGUAAGUCCAUGCAUGAGAAAUGAUUGCCUGUCACAUGGGAAAGUAGGGGGAAAGUAAAGCCCUCAUCUUAAGCCCACAAUGGUUAUUCUCUUCUCAUGGGAAAGUUUAGAAAAAUGAGCUAACAUUUAAUGCACAAUUUUCAUUACUAUUUUGUCCCUAUGAACAAUUUAUAAUUACAACGUAUCAUUAAAUGCAUUUUUUUUAUUUGAUUUAAUAUGGGUAUAAUUGGAAAAUUAUACAAACUUUAUUUUCCAUUCCUACUCAAAACAAACACGGGAAAGGAAACAAAGUAAAAUCUCCCGAUUACUUUUCCGACAUUACCAAACGUGGGAAAGGAAUCUUUCAUUCCCAUUCCUUGGGAAAUGACAUGGGAAUUGAUUUCCCUUCAAAUCCAUUCCUUGAACCAAACAGGGCUUAGGUUUUUAUUUAUUUAAGUAAUAACUAUUCUGCUGUUGUUAAUUAUUUGAGUUGUUAUUUGCUUAAUUGGCAAUUAAUAUAAAAGUGGAAAGUUUGUUGGGUUAAUUAACAGAAUAAUCAGGAAAAAUCUUAUUAAUGUUGUAAAGUUAUUAGUGGAGACCACCUUUAUGGGGUCAUGAAGAAAUUAAGCAAAGUUGUUUAGAAGCUUAUUGAUAAGUCAAUAUUUUAUAUAUAUUUUAUGCCUCCUUGAUUAUUUAUUUGUUAAUUUCCUUGGAUUAAAUUGGUUGUUUUAAUUAGUUUUGUGAGAUUUGUGAAGGAAUUGUGAAAUAGGAGAAAGUGUGCUAAAAAGGGCAAGAAGAUGAAGAUUGGCGAUUAAUUAAAAAGAAGCCAAGUAAUUCCUUUGUUGCAAGGAAUGUUAUGAAAUUUCCUAGUUCAAGAUGGUUCAAGUCUUAUCAAGUCAAACAAGGAGAAAUAAAGAAGUCCUUAUAUUAGAAGGAAUCCUAUUUUUAUAACAAUUGUAAUUACAGUCCUGAUCUCUUGGACUAUGGAGGUCCAAGAGAUUUGUGGUCACUCACCGUUGGAUGGAAAUUCAACGGUUCACUCACUCUUGCACUCAUUUUAAUUUUUUUUUUUAAACCAUUAGAUCAAUAUCCAACGGUGGGUGAUUACAAUCUCUUGGACUCUUGUGGUCCAAGAGAUCGGGACUGAUUGUAAUUGUACCUUAGUUAGGAUUUCUAGGAGUUUUAUAAAUAGGGAAUUUAGGUCUUUGUUCAAAGAAUCCAAUUACCCAUCAUCCAUCCUCCAUCAUCUACCCUAAAAUUCCUACAUAUUCAUACUCAUAGCCGAAAAAUUCAAAGGAGAGAGAGAGUUUUAGAGAGACAAAGAAGACAACCUGGAGCUAGAGUUGCUGUCGUGCAGAGAUCAAAUCUUCAGUUGGUUUCUUCUUUCCUAUGAUACUAUUUAUCAUGGUUUUUAUUAAAGUUUUCAUGAACUAAUUUCUUCUUGCUAGGGCUACGAUGUAGCCUAGCCAUGAAUACUUAAUUACUUUAGUAAAUGUUAAUUCCAAGUAUUUUUCCAUGUUGAGUAUCUAUUAUCAUGCUUAAUGCUUUGAAUGUUUGGCCAACAUUUAAUUGUUUUGAUGCUAAAUUGACGAUAGGGAUUUUCAAUUUGGGGUUACUUCUUGUAAUAGAUGCCAUGAGUUACAUGAUUAGACAGGGAUGUUUGUCAUGACUUAUGUGGUUGUUUUGUAGGUUUUCCAAGGAAUUUAAUGGGUUCUUAUUAUCUUAAUUCCAUUACUAGGGAUAUAGUGGGUUGGUAAUAAGAAUACUUUUGAUAUAAACAUGGAUGGAGAGUAUCGAAUAAAGUAGGGAAAAUCAAUUGUCAACAUGGAGAAUAAUUAGAAUUAACAUGCUAAGGGAAUUGGAUAGAAUUGGCUAUGGUGUAAUCGGAACCUCUAGUGCUCUCAUAACUUGAAUCUCACUACUUUAUUUUUCUAUGCUUGCUUUUAUUCCUUGUUUUAGUUAAUUAAUCAAUUGAAUCUCAUCAUCAAUUGUUCAAAUAAAGUCUUGGGUUAAUCACAAUCGGUACUUAGCAAAUUAAAUCACUCUUCGUGGGAACGACACUUCACUCAUCACUGUAUUACUUGUGCGAAUUGUGCGCUUGCAAUAAAUUUCACAACACUUAUCACAUGCUCACUCACGGGCAUUAUUUCCUGAACCUAUAAAUAUGGCAUUAUUGUGCCUUUGCAUGGACACCCUCCAACUGAGAGAAGAAAAAGAGUCAGGUAGAGAAGGAAGAGAGAGAGAUCAGAGAGAAAGAAAAGAAGGAAGAAAGAGGAAGAGUGAAUAGAGAGAAAAGAGGGCAGGGAGAAAUUCUCCAAGAGAGAAAAAUCAGUGAGCCACAUAUAUUGUAAACACUAAAGUUGUAGCCCUAUUAUUUUAUAUAGUGGAAAAGUUACUGCUGCUGCUCUCCGAGGACGUAGGCAUGACCGAACCUCGUUAAAUGUUGUGUCUCAUCUACUUUACUUUAUCGCACAUAUUCCAGUUAUUUUAUAACAAUUAAAGCAUUUUCUUCAAUGCGUACGUGGGCAAUACACCGGGACCCUUCCAUUUGGGAAAAUCCAUUGGAGUUUGAUCCAGAAAGGUUCUUGAACAGCAAAUGGGACUAUAGUGGAAAUGACUUCAACUAUUUCCCAUUUGGAUUUAGCAGAAGAAUAUGUGCAGGGAUUGCAAUGGCUGAGAGGAUGGUGAUGCAUUCACUUGCUACACUUGUGCACUCUUUUGACUGGAAAAUGCCACAAGGACAGAAGCUGGAUCUUUCAGAGAAGUUUGGAGUUGUGCUGAAAAAGAAGCUGCCUUUGGUUGCUAUCCCAACUCCUAGGUUAUCUGAUCCAGCACUCUAUGAGUAGCCAACUUCUUUUUCCCCACAAAGAUUUCUUGGGAUAAUUGUUGUUUGUAUGUGUCUUUCAGAACCUGGUAAAAUCAGGAUGAAUUUAUGUUGCAUUAUUUGGGAGUUGAGGCCCCAUGACAAAGAUUGUGAAAAAUAAUGCCAAUAAACAAAUAAAUAAUUAUAUAUAUGAUUUUUGCCGCCAGGCCCAUUGGGCAUGCCCUUACUCGGUAACCUUCUCUCUCUCGACCCAGAACUAAACUCCUACUUCGCCGGCAUGGCCCACACUUAUGGCCCAAUCUUCAAGCUCCGCCUCGGCGCCAUGACCUGCUUCGUCAUCAACUCCCCUUCCUCCGCCCGCGAGGUCCUCAAAAACCGUGACGUCCCCGUAGCGGCCCGGAUCGCCUUUUACGAGGGGCCGACGUCGUGUGGACCCCGCACGGGCCGGAGUGGCGGAUGCUGAGAAAGGUCUCCAUCCUGAAGAUGCUCGGCGGCGCCGCGCUGGACUCUUUCCAAUUGAUCCGCCAAAACCAGGUCCGAAAGACGGUCGGGUACUUGUACGGUAGGGCCGGGUCGCCCGUAAACGUGGGCGAGCAAAUCUUCCUGACGUCGCUUAACGUCAUCUCUAACAUGAUAUGUGGCGGCUGCAUCGCGGCGGAGGACGGGGAGGAGAGGGCCGGGCUCGGGGAGGAGUUUCGGAAAGUGGUGUCGGAGAUAACGAGGCUCAUAGGUCGGCCCAAUGUUUCGGAUUUUUUUCCGGGUUUGGGUCGGUUCGAUUUGCAGGGUAUAAAGAAGCAGAUGGAGGGGCUGGUGCGGGGGUUUGAUGGGAUAUUUGAGCAGAUGAUUGAUCAACGGCUGCUGAAGAUGGAGGGGGAAGGCGCGAAAGAGAGUCAAGAUUUUUUGACUUCUUUGUUGAAAUUGAAAGAGGAGGGAGGAGAUUCCAAGACGCCUCUGACCAUGACUCACAUCAAAGCUCUGCUCAUGGUAUGUGAACUACUAUUCUUCAAAACUUGAUUUCCGUACAAAAGCCAAAUGCCCAGAUGAUUCAAUUCAAACCUUUGGACCAACCAUACUAACGAAAAAAAAAAAACUUUGGACCCAAAUUAAUCAACCUCACUAAUCUAGAUAAUGAACCCCAUUAAUCUAGAUACAUUGAGAACUCUAAGUAUUUCAAUUGAGAACUCUAAGUAUUUCAAAUACAUGAAAUUUAUUAAAAGCCAAACUAUUCCAAAUUCAUGGAUCUUAUUAGAGCAUCUCUAAGGGAAAUGCCAAAUAAAAAACUUCAAAUUUGUAUUUAACGGCCUAUAAGGCAAUUUAACAUUAUGGACAACUUCUUAUUCAACCCGAACUGUUAAAUAAAAUUAUUAUUUUAUUAAAGAAUAAAUGAAAGAAAAUGAAAAUAUGGUAAGAGAAAAGCAUAUGGAAGCUUAAAAACGUCACUUUUAUACAUAGCAGGCGGGGCCCAUUCAUUAAAAAGCUCUCGAUAAUUGAAAUAACAUCUUUGUUUCUUGCUUACAUAUAAUAGUUUUUAGAGCUUUUCCGUAUGAUUUUUCAAUUUUGAGAAAAUUUUAACCUUUUAAAUCGUUAGACAUGUUUAAAAUUUUCAAUGAGUUUCCAAAACUUUCCAAAAAUAUUCCAAAAUAUGUAAGUUCUGAAAUUUUCCUAUACUUCCAAAAAUUCCAAGUUUUUUGAAUUGUACUGGAUGUUGAAAUUCCAAAAUUUUUUGUAAUGGAAUUGGAAAAGAAUUUUCAUUCUGAUUUUUUUUGGAAUGGAAUUGGAAUCCCCUGAUUCCAGCCUUACACCUAACCCAACCCCUUACCAUGCACUCUCUCUCUCUCUCUCUCUCUCUCUCUCUCUCUCUCUCUCUCUCUCUCUCUCUCUCUCUCUCAAACUGAAAGGUCUCUUGAACCCAUGGAAGCACAUGCAACAUAUCUUAAGCAUUGAAAUUCAAUUACCAUCAACACCCAUCUCUCACAUCAAGCUUUUACAGAUUUGAUGACAAUCUAAGCCCACCAUCUCUUGAACCCAUGGAAGCAUAUGCAACAUAUCUUAAGCAUUGAAAUUCAAUUACCAUCAACGCCCAUCUCUCACAUCAAGUUUUUACAGAUUUGAUGACAAUAUGAAAAUUAGGAGUCAACAAAUGAGUGAGACCUUCAAAAGGAAGAAAUAUAACUAGGUCUUGGGUUAGCCAUCGAAAGGGUGAGAAUGAAGGAUUCAUAUAUGGUUAAGUUGUUGAACUGCGUGAGAAGGGGGAGAGAGAGAGGGGGAGGGGGCGAUGACCAUGGGAGGAAGGGGGCGGUAGGAGACUGGGGUCGGGGUGUGCGGUUCCAUCUUUUUCAUGAUCUUUUAUUUUUAAAAUUUUAUUUCAAAGGGUUAUAGUUGGGUUUUAUGUCCAAAUGUAAAAUAAAGUUUUAAUUGUUUUAAAAAAAAAGACACAUGGCAAAUUUUAAAUGGGAGUGUCACUGACUGACGUGGUGAUACAGUACUAUUUUAUAAUUUCUCAUGUGGUAAGAUAUAUAAGGAUUGAUACAUAAAAUAACUUUUUAUUUCAUUGAUAAUCAUAUAAACCAGAAGAUAUUUUGGCCAUUUGCAUCAAGCUCAAACUUCCUUUUUGCAUGCGUGCUCCUUGACCACACACUGUAAUAAGAGGUAAAAAAAUGAUUGGCAGGAUACUCGGCCAAACUUGUGAUUGUUAGUUUUCCCAAUUUCUCACCCAGAUUAACUUAACUUUUUGAGAAAAAUAUUAGUUUGUCAAAUUUCUUUUUUUGCUUUGAUUUGUAGUUUACUUUUAAGGAGUGUAUUCAAUUGGAAUUUGAAAAGAUCAUUUGGGAUAAUUAUUAGUUUUUCCUUUGAAGUAUCAAAGAAAUAAAAUAUAAUUUUUAAGGAUUAUAGUCGGAAUAAUAUUUUAAAAGUGACUUGGUGUAGUGAGCAACUUUUAUAACAAAUCCAAGCUUCCUUCCAGCGCCACAACAAAGGGGAAAGGUAUAGUUUAAAAACACAAUAAUGGUAUCAUGAGUAAUUGAGUGUCCAUAACAAAUUUUAGGGUACUAGAAUUAGGAUUUGUCCAUAACAAAUUUUAAGGUACUAGAAUUUUAGGGUAUCAAAUUUUAGACAAAUUAAUGUGAUCAUUGAGCUCAAUUCACAAUCUCCUGGAAUCUUAAAGUACCAAAUAGUCUUGCAAAAUAACGUGCCUUAUAGAACGUAAGCAUAUAUAUAUUUCUCUUGUUUCAUGUGAAUUGUAAACAAACUAUCACAUUAACAUGAUGUUUAACAAUAUGAUAAAGGGCAGGAUAUGAUGCUUGGUGGGACUGACACAAUAUAUAUAUAUAUAUAUAUAUAUAUAUCAGUCCUGAUCUCUUGGACUACAGGGGUCCAAGAGAUCAUGACUGUAUAUAUAUAUAAAGCAAAAGGCAGAGAAUGAUGAAACAUUCAAAAUACUAGAAAAUACCCUUGAUUAAUUCAAACAUUAAGAAUUAAAAUUAUUAAUUAAAUGAGGAUAUUAAGGUAAAUUCACAUUUUUUCAUAUUAAAAAAAUUUAAAAUUUAAAACAAAAUCAGAUAAUAGGUCCUAUUUUAAUGGAACAUAACUACCCAUAUUAUCUUUUUCUUAAUUCUAAAAAUAAAAUAAAAAUAAAAAAGAAAACCAAUUGGCACACGCAUGAGGGGCUAGUAUAUAUUAAAAUAAUGCUUGUGGCCCCUCACAGUAAAGAGGAUAAUGGAUUUACGUUUCCCCCCUCCAACUAAAAGGUUAUUUUCUUAGCAAAAAGGCUAAGUUACUCUUGGAUCCAACCAACAUAAUUAAUAAAAAAAAUUAAAAGAAACAGCCAAUCAACUCUUUCUUUCACAAUUAUAUUUAAAAAAAUAGAAAAUCAAAGAUAACCGGUUAUCUAUUUAUUUAUUUAAUUAUUUACAAGCUUAACACUAAAAAAGGAAUUAAUUCUAAACCCUAGUAUAUUGACCCCCACAUAUAAAAUCUUGGCUCUACCACAUCUCAUGCAUUGAACUUAUUAAUGCCAUCGAUCCCAAUGCUACAUAAAUUGUAAUACCUUAUAUAUCUGCAUCAACAUAAGUCUGAGUGUAUUUUAUUUGAUUAAGCGUUUUUAAAAUGGAGGCAUAUCGAUCCAAGCACGUGGGAAUCGUAAAUGUGGCCUCGCUAUACAGAAACAAUUUUUUUUUUUGAAUAAAUGAAUUAAAAAUUUCGAAUUUAUAUACACACGAUUUCCAUAUAGAUAGAUAAGAACAUAGAUAUCUAUCGAUGUUGAUAUUGGUUGACAUGGGUAUGAUCCUAAUUUUAAUAAAUAAAUAAAUAAAUAAAUAAAUAAUAAUAUACAAAUAAUGCCAGAAAUAUUUACGUAGCCGAUCUAGCUAACGUCCACCAAACUUUUAGAUAUUGACCAAAACUAUUUGGCACUUGUGAUUAUUAUUCGUCUUUUCCUAGAAAGUCUUGUCUGAAUCAUUAAAACCAUUUCUGCCUCAAAUUCCUGCCGUUUUCUUCUGGAUAUAUAGCACUUAUCUGAAAAUUUUAGAUAUUGACCAAAACUAUUUGGCACUUGCAUGCACAAACACGUGGUCUAAAUUACAACCACUGCAUUGAGUCAAUUGUACGCUGGAUAUUCACUAGCACCACACAGAGUCCUUCCCUUCACACAAAACUCAAAAACCAAUUUGAAGCUUACCAUGAAUUCGUUCCAAACUAGUACCAGAAAUGAUGAGAGUUGGCUUCUUCUCUACACUUUCUCAGCCAUUUUCGCAACCAUCUGGUGUGCAUGGCUGUGCAUGAAAAAGUCCAGCAACAAAAUCCCACCUUUGCCCCCAGGCCCAUUGGGCAUGCCCUUACUCGGUAACCUUCUCUCUCUCUCCCCAGAACUAAACUCCUACUUCGCCGGCCUGGCCCACACCUAUGGCCCAAUCUUCAAGCUCCGCCUCGGCGCCAUGACCUGCGUCGUCAUCAAUUCCCCUUCCUCCGCCCGCGAGGUCCUCAAAGACCGUGACGUCACCUUCGCUAACCGUGACGUUCCCGUAGCGGCCCGAAUCGCCUUCUACGGAGGGGCCGACGUCGUAUGGAGCCCGCACGGGCCAGAGUGGCGGAUGCUGAGAAAAGUCUGCGUGCUGAAGAUGCUCGGCGGAGCCGCGCUGGACUCGUUCCAAUCGAUCCGCCAAAACCAGGUCCGAAAGACAGUCGGGUACUUGUACGGUCGGGCCGGGUCGCCCGUAAACGUGGGCGAGCAGAUCUUCCUGACGUCGCUUAACGUCAUCUCUAACAUGAUAUGUGGCGGCUGCAUCGCGGCAGAGGACGGGAAGGAGAGGGCCGGGCUCGGGGCGGAGUUUCGGAAAGUAGUGUCGGACAUGAUGGAGCUCGUAAGUCGGCCCAAUGUUUCGGAUUUUUUUCCGGGUUUGGGUCGGUUCGAUUUGCAGGGUAUAAAGAAGCAGAUGGAGGGGCUGGUGCGGAGGUUUGAUCGGAUAUUUGAGCAGAUGAUUGAUCAACGGCUGAAGAUGGAGGAGGAUGGCGCGAAAGAGAGUCAAGAUUUUUUGACUUUUUUGUUGAAAUUGAAAGAGGAGGGAGGAGAUUCCAAGACGCCUCUGACCAUGACUCACAUCAAAGCUCUGCUCAUGGUAUGUGAACUACUAUUCUUCAAAACUUGAUUU
rnacentral:lncRNA from 1 species